rnacentral:rRNA from 1 species
CCCACUGCUAUCGGGGUGGGACUUAGGCAUGUUAGUUUGUGUCUUCAGGCUAUGGUGAGGACACGGCGGACGGCUCAGUAACACGUAGCUAACCUGCCCUCGGGACGGAGAUAACCCCGGGAAACUGGGGCUAAUACCCGAUAGGUGAGAAGGCCUGGAAUGGUUUCUCGCCUAAAGGAUGUGGAGCCAUGCUUCCAAUAUCGCCCGAGGAUGGGGCUGCGGCCGAUCAGGUAGUUGGUGAGGUAACGGCUCACCAAGCCUUUAACCGGUACGGGCCGUGAGAGCGGGAGCCCGGAGAUGGGGCACUGAGACAAGGACCUAGGCCCUACGGGGCGCAGCAGUCGCGAAAACUCCGCAAUGCGCGCAAGCGCGACGGGGCUACCCCGAGUGCCGUCCGCUGAGGAUGGCUUUUCUCUGGUGUAAUGAGCCGGAGGAAUAAGGGGAGGGCAAGACUGGUGUCAGCCGCCGCGGUAAUACCAGCUCCCCGAGUGGUGGGGAUGUUUAUUUGGCCUAAAGCGUCCGUAGCCUGCUCGGUAAGUCCUCCGUUAAAUCCAACGAUCUAAUCGUUGGGCUGCGGGGGAUACUGCAGGGCUAGGGGGCGGGAGAAGUCGACGGUACUCUUGGGGUAGGGGUGAAAUCCUAUAAUCCCAGGAGGACAACCAGUGGCGAAGGCUGUCGGCUAGAACGCGCUCGACGGUGAGGGACGAAAGCUGGGGGAGCGAACCGGAUUAGAUACCCGGGUAGUCCCAGCUGUAAACGAUGCGGGCUAGGUGUUGGGGUGGCUACGAGCCACUUCAGUGCCGCAGGGAAGCCAUUAAGCCCGCCGCCUGGGGAGUACGGCCGCAAGGCUGAAACUUAA